rnacentral:rRNA from 1 species
GAUUAACGCUAGCGGCAGGCAUAAUACAUGCAAGUUGAACGAGAUAAGUUUUAGCAAUAGAACUUUGAAAGUGGCGCACGGGUGCGUAACACGUAUGCAACCUACCUUUUACUGGGGAAUAGCCUCUCGAAAGAGAGAUUAAUACCCCAUAAUAUAUUGAUAAGGCAUCUUAUUAAUAUUAAAGUUACGGCGGUAAAAGAUGGGCAUGCGGCUGAUUAGGUAGUUGGUGAGGUAAUGGCGCACCAAGCCGACGAACAGUAGGGGGUCUGAGGGAAUGUCCCACAACACUGGUAAUGAGACACGGACCAGACGCCUACAGGAGGCAGCAAUAGGGAAGAUUGGACAAUGGGCGCAAGCCUGAUCCAGCCAUGCCGCGUGCAGGAUGAAGGCCCUAUGGGUCGUAAACUGCUUUUGUACGGGAAGAAACCUCACUACGUGUAGUGGGUUGACGGUACCGUGAGAAUAAGGAUCGGCUAACUUCGUGCCAGCCGCCGCAGUAA